rnacentral:sRNA from 1 species
UGACAUCAAAAUUUUUCGAUUGAAAACGC